rnacentral:lncRNA from 1 species
CAAAGAUAAUGUACCUAGUGAAGCAUGCUUCGAUUGUACAGACCCUGUUAUGAAUCAAUUUUGUCAAUCAACAUGCAAUACAUGUGUUAACAUAAAUGGUACAAAUAAAUCUGUUAGUGCAGCCAGCAUUCAUUUUGGUCAACCUCGAUCUGGUCUAAAAUAUUUAAUUGUUUACAAUGACUCUCAAGAUUGUUUUUUGGAUAUGCGCAUCGAUGAUAGUUUUGUUUACUGUAAUCCAACCAAUUGGACU